UCUUAUAAUAAAUACAAUAUAUAAAAUUACCUGAGAACGAACUGUUAGAUGAUAAGAAUAUAAACACAGAUGGUCAAAACAUUUAAAAUUAUUAAAUAUUAAAAUUAUUUAAUGUAAUGACUAAGUCACGUGUAAGACAUUCUUUCAUGUCCAAAUAUUGAGAUUAAAGGAGCAGUAUUUGUAUUAAAUUGCUAGUCAAAUUCAAACGCGUAUGUACAGUUGGGGUGGCACUAUUUAAAAUGUAAGGGUGGCGGUUUUUGUCGUUUCAGAGCGGUCGUUGCACGAACGGACAGCCAUCUAAAAACAGGCAGCUUUUGUAUCAGGCAACACACCCCCAAAAUGUCAGAGUCACUGGCUGGGAGGCGCAAAGAGCUCACAGUUAUUCAUGCUGUUCCACUUCAUUUUAAGCAUAAGCAAACCAUAACUAUAUGAACGAAAUAUAUAAGCUCCAAAUUGUCUUAAUAUGAUCUUGGUCAGAUCGUUAAAAAUUAUUUUAAUUUAAAUUAUUUACCCCAAAGUAACAUCGCUUCUGUUUUGCGAUCAAUCCUCAGCCAGCAAUAUGUUAUAAAACGCUAAUAUUAGCAACUUAUAUACGGUUACUAUUAUUUAUGUGGUUACACUUAGACGUCAGGGGCCAGCUUAGCGAUACGGCAAGGCUGAUAGAAAGACACGUUAUAUCGAAUACCAUGUUGUAACGGCACUAUUACAAGACAUAGAGCAGAACGCAAGCUGAGACAAAGCCCACUGCAGCCCCUCCGCUGCCCUCACAGCGAACGUCCCCCACCCCAUCGCCUCAUCUCAAUUAGCUUAGCUGCUUCCCUUCACCACACAUCCUCCCUGGCUAUUUGGCAGCUCUGCUUCAACCCGACAUUUUCCUCUUGCUCUCUGGACUCUGCAAUGCAACAACGGUGACUAGAUAAAAACACGACUGUCUGAAUCCUUACUUCUAGACGGGACUGAUGGCGCAGUGGCAUUUGCAUCAUGGAGGAAUGCUUUACGCAUGCGCGUUGGUGCACAUUAUGAUCCAUGUUGCAGAGCAGGCUGAAGCUUGAAAGUCGCCAGAGGAACGUGGGAUGGGGGAAGGGAGGCCGGCGAGACACCCAAACGCCACCAGGGCGAGAUGGUAGUGAGAGACGCAGUUUAAUUCAAGGAUCUGUAUUAAAUUUAAAGGCAUCUUAAAUAUGUGUAAGGUAUUCUUACCCCCAUUUUUCUUAUGCACAAUAUGAACACAUCUUCAAUAAUGUAUAGUCCAAGUUGUAAUUCAUGUUCAUUAUAAUUUUGUAUGUUUGUUCAGUAUUAACCAUUAAUCAGUCAUUACUUUAGGGCCCAUUUAAUUUUUUGUUUUAGGUCACGUAGGUCAAACAUUGACCUGGAAUUAUUCAUUUCUCUUAUUAUUUGUCUUCUAAAUUAAAAGGUAGGCAAAGCAUUCCAGUUGCAUAAGACACGGUUGCAGCAAAUGGCAUCACAUGCAACAACAGGCAGCGUGUGUGCUGUCUUUUUAAAAAGGAUUAAAACAUCAAGAACCUCAAAUGAUGCUUGUGCAUUUGUGCACUGUCUGCUUAAAAUGGUGCAAAUUUCAAUGUUAUUGACUAUGACCUUUAAUCUGCAAUAUUUACCUACAGUUUAAAUAAAUACUAUUACAAAGAUAUUUAAAUAAUAUAAAAUUUGUUCAAUUUUAUUUUUGUCUCAUUAAUAUAACUGUGAUGCAAUGACAUGUAGAGCGUAGCUUUAUGAACAAUUUAUUUACACAAUAUGUUUGCAUUAUACAUAUCAGUUUCAGUGAAAGGUUUGCUGUUGGCAAAAAUGAGACAUUUACCAACAGUCUCUACAGAUCCUGUCUUACACCAAAGCCUGGUCCUUUCGGAGGCUCUGUGAGAGAAGUCAGGCCUCCUGCAGGCUCACAAGAGAAACGCCCACUUCUGUAAUUCAAAACAACAACAACCACAAAAAAAAAACAUGUCAAUGUGUGGCAGAUGUGAAUGAAAUUUUUCAGUGACAUUAAACAAAACAUCUACCUGG